rnacentral:rRNA from 1 species
UACGUAGGGUGCGAGCGUUAAUCGGAAUUACUGGGCGUAAAGGGUGCGCAGGCGGUUAUAUAAGACAGAUGUGAAAUCCCCGGGCUCAACCUGGGAAUGGCAAUGGAUACUGGCAAGCUAGAGUGCGGUAGAGGGUAGUGGAAUUCCCGGUGUAGCGGUGAAAUGCGUAGAGAUCGGGAGGAACACCAGUGGCGAAGGCGGCUACCUGGACCAGCACUGACACUGAGGCACGAAAGCGUGGGGAGCAAACAGG